UACGUAGGGGGCUAGCGUUGUCCGGAAUCACUGGGCGUAAAGGGCGCGUAGGCGGCCUGGUAAGUAGGGGGUGAAAUCCUGCGGCUUAACCGCAGGGCUGCCUUCUAAACUGUCAGGCUCGAGCACGGUAGAGGCAGAUGGAAUUCCCGGUGUAGCGGUGGAAUGCGUAGAGAUCGGGAAGAACAUCAGUGGCGAAGGCGGUCUGCUGGGCCGUUGCUGACGCUGAGGCGCGACAGCGUGGGGAGCAACAGG
rnacentral:rRNA from 1 species